AUAGCCUCGAUCCCAGGCCGAGUUUUCGCUUUUAUAACGGUUAGGCAAACAACUGGGCCUGGUACUAGUUGUCUGCGCAUGCGUCAGUCGUUUGUCAGAUUCUGACGAAUGGAUAUUCUCGUUCACUUUUGUGACAUUUAUAUUCGUGUACUAUCGUGUACUAGAAGUCAGUUCCCGUUUUAUCAUUAUUGGAAUCGAUUGGAAUGGCUCUUAGCUGAAGCUUCUCUCUUCUCUGAAGCUUAUUCUGAAGACUGAACAACAAGGGAAGAGGUAUAAAGCUUUGUCAAGCUUGUUAAGGUCAGAUAUUUUUGUGUGGGCCCUAUGGCCGGCUAUGCUAUCAAGUCUUGUUCAUGUUUGGCAAGAAUGUAGGUAGACUAUAGUUUCAUCAUUAAUAUGGUGGAUCAAGUGAAGAGUGUGAGCUAGAGAACUUGGUGCUGCCAUCAUCAGCUCGUCGACAAUGACACUAUAACCGAGAAAUUUAAUAUGUAUAGAUCUACACGUAUUUAAAAUGUCUACUUCUCUGUACAGGAGCAAUGGCUAAUAUCCAGCUAUCCCAACAGUGCUCCUCUUGGCUAUACUAACGGACGAGACUGGACAGUUUGAGACACAGGACUGGAGUAUGACCUGCUCAUUCGAGCGUUGCUGGGUAGCUCAGAGACAUCAAGAGAAUCUACGUUUUCUCAAGCAAUGAGUUACGAGUUGGGGCCUAGAAUCAGAGAAGUCCAGCAGCCUGCUAAAUCUUUUUGAAACGUAAUUUGAAGGCAUUCAAUCAUCCUGAAGUUGCCCUGGGUCACUGUAAUUGUGCUGCAGCACAACUGGCAACUCCCCAGGCCUUUGUGAAGCAGCUCCCUAUGUGCAUCUUUUGUGUACUCACUCUGUGCAUUUUCUGUGUACAAAUUUCUAUUAUUGAUUUAUUAAAUAUUUUUGCCGACCACAAA